GAUUGGGAUGGCUCUCUGGACCCUGCUAGAGCUAGCCUGCAAAACAAACGAGACCCGUGCACCGCUCAUAGCGUUACAGAAUUCAGAGAUUUCAGAACAUGGCACCAAUGCCGACUCAAAUUAUUCCUUUCUCCCCUCUAUGUCGAUCAAACCACGAAUUAAAAUUCAUUCCAGCAAUGAAAGCAUGGCCACUUCUGAGUUCUGAUUCAUGAUAUACUGAUACCCCUGCGACUCCCAUAUUGCGUUUCAUAGAAUUUCAGGUUGAAAAAGAUGUUGGAGGUCGAAACAAGUGAAUUCAAACAAUUCUGGAUUUCCAGUUUCAUCAUGGAAAUCUUUUUUUGCUUUGGCAGUUGUGCCUAAAAAUGAUUCCUUUCUGGCUAGCUUACCAAGCAUGAAAAUAAUUUUCACAGCCCCCCUUCGUUCCAUCUCCACGUGUCCCCGCUUCCUUCUUGCUGCUGCUGUGUCCAUUACUAGUACACCUCUCCCUCAUUUUCCGUUUCGCCAAGACAUCUGUCUCUGUCUUUGCUCACCACCCUCUCUCUUUCUCUUUCACACACAGACACACACACAGAGGCACUGCUAUUCGAGCAAGAGCAGAAAUUGUGCAGGAUAGCAAAAUUUAACGAUUGCAGCCUUAUAUCUUUGUUUCAUUCAAAGGGACCCAUUUGGUUAUUUAGAAAGGAGAGUUUAAUUUAUUUUUUGUUAGCUUCUAUGGGUUCCGAAUAAAUAGGCCUUCUUAUCUGUUGUUGGUUGCUGUUUAUAAGUUUUCUUGGUUUUAUUUCCUUCGGGUUUUUAGAGGGGUUUGACUCUUGAGGCUGAGCUGAUAGGUGAGGAGGUCUGAAUCAUGAAGGGCCAUGCAUUAGAAGAACAAACAGUUUUUGAGGAAGAACAGCCGGUUUUUGAGAUAGGGGUUGUGGUACCGAAGAGGGACGAGAAGCAAGAAAUUGAUAAUGAGAAUUGUGUUGACGUUCUUGCUGCUGAAUUCAGGAAGAUGGGCUUAAUUGUCGAGAGAGUUGUUGGCCUACAAAACGAAAUUCUUAAGUUGGCAGCACCUUUAGCAAUUCUCGGGAAGGCCGCAGCUGAGUUGCAAUUGAAGAAACGAACUUACAUUGGAGUAGAUUUGCAGUUUGAAUGGGAUGAGAUUGAUGCUUUCAAAAGGCAACCAGAUGGUUCCUUAUUCAGUUGGCAUGAGCGUCUCCUCUGCUAUCAUCACAUGUUGUAUGGGACUGUGAAUGUGGACAACUCCAUCAUGUUGAAGUUUGAUAACAAGGAAGUAUACUGGGAGAUGGGAGAAUCUGUACUGAGGAAGCUUGAAUUGGAAGGCAUUGUCAAAGAAGUCUUCCCGCUGCAUGAUGAUGUGAUGCGGAAGCAGCUUCUGAAAAUUUGGGCUCUGAACUGGUGGGACUUCACCAAGCAACCAAUUGAUGAGAUAUGUUCAUACUAUGGGAUGAAGAUUGCCACCUAUUUUGCUUUCCUUGGAAUGUACACGCGCUGGCUUUUGUUUCCUGCUGCAUUUGGACUUAUUCUGCACUUGAUUGAUUUUGGAUCGUUGCAGUUAUUUGUUCUCCCAGUCUUCUUUGUAAGCCUUGUAAUGUGGGCUGUACUAUUUUUCCAAUUUUGGAAACGUAAAAACUCGGCCCUCUUGUCCAGGUGGCAGGUAAAUCAGGCACCUGGAGCAGGUCGUGAACAUAAAGCUUUUGAUUUGGAGUGGAGUUUGUUCCAAUACCCUUCAGAGCUCAUGAAAAAACAGGGCUCAGACAAAAUUAUAGAAAAAGAAGUAUAUCAAAGAGAGGAAUGGUUACGAAGGUUCAUGAGAUAUCGAAAUGAUUUUGUUGUUAUAUUGAGCAUCAUAUGUCUUCAACUUCCUUUUGAGUUGGCUUAUGCUCACCUUUAUGAGGUUGUUACAUCCGACCUGCUAAAGUUUGGUCUAACGGUGGUGUACCUCUUGGCCAUUCAGUAUUUCACCCGAAUUGGUGGCAAGAUGGCAGUGGAUCUUGUUAAUCGUGAAAUCAGUAAUAAUAUAGAAUAUAGAGCUGACAGCUUGGUCUACAAGGUAUUUGGCCUUUACUUUAUGCAAUCAUAUGUGGGACUUUUCUACCAUACUCUACUGCAUCGCAAUAUAAUGACGCUUCGGCAAGUUUUGAUUCAACGUCUUAUCUUCUCUGAGGUUCUGGAGAAUCUGUUAGAAAAUUCAAUACCCUAUUUGAAAUAUAGCUUUAAAAAGUAUCGAGCUGUUCGAACUAAGAGAAAAGGCGAAAGAGGAUCAUUUGCAGGAAAGUUUCCCAGAGUGGAGAAGGAGUAUCUUAAACCUGCUUAUUCUGCAAGUAUCAGUGAGGAACUUGAAGAUGGAUUAUUUGAUGAUUUUCUGGAAUUGGCGUUGCAGUUUGGAAUGAUUAUGAUGUUUGCCUGUGCAUUCCCCCUUGCAUUCACUUUUGCUACAUUGAACAAUAUAACAGAAAUAAGAACAGAUGCACUUAAGUUGCUGGUAAUGUUGAGAAGACCCAUUCCUCGUUGUGAUGCAACUAUUGGAGCUUGGCUCAAUAUAUUUCAGUUUCUAAUAGUGAUGUCCAUAUGUACCAACUGUGUACUACUAGUAUGCCUAUAUGAUCGGGAAGGGAAAUGGAAUAUAUCCCCUGGACUUGCUGCUAUUCUUCUCAUGGAACAUGCUCUUUUGCUGAUUAAAUUCUUAUUCUCCCAUAUUGUUCCUGAGGAGCCUGCUUGGGUCAGAGCCAAUCGCAUGAAGAAUGCCACUCACGCACAAGACAUGUGCUCUAGGGAGCUUUUGAGGACUAUAUCUGGUGGUCAGAAAACGUUUAAAGAACUGGUUAAGAAUGAGUAACAAAGAAACUCGGCAAUGUUGCGGUGUGUUUUCUCUUCCCAACUUGAUUACAGAGGGUACCCGCUUAAGGCGAAACAAAAGUACUGCUAUGCUUGUUAAUGUUAAUACUUGUAGUGUUAAUGUUUGUGGUAUCUAGAAAGCCUUGAAUGACUGCAAUCACUGCAUUCUUUGGCGAUUGAGAAUUUGACAGUAUUUGUGCCUUCCUUGUUUAAAGAUCAUUGCAGUACAAGGAGAAAUCAUAGAACUGUCUUUUCACCUAUUAUUUUUUCCAAGUUCAGAUUUGGCCAAUUCGGGAAUGUAUGGCGUUUGUUGGCAGGUAAUAUGGCUUGGAAGAAACAAGUUGCCUCUAAUUACUCUCAGCUGGAAACUUGAUCAAA